rnacentral:rRNA from 1 species
UACGAAGGUCCCAAGCGUUGUUCGGAAUCACUGGGCGUAAAGGGUGCGUAGGCGGUUUGGUAAGUCAGAUGUGAAAUCCCGGGGCUCAACCCGGGAACUGCGUCCGAUACUGGUUGGCUUGAAUCCGGGAGAGGGAUGCGGAAUUCCAGGUGUAGCGGUGAAAUGCGUAGAUAUCUGGAGGAACACCGGUGGCGAAGGCGGCAUCCUGGACCGGCAUUGACGCUGAGGCGCGAAAGCCAGGGGAGCAAACGGG